UCUCCGUUGGUUAACCAGCGGAGGGAUCAUUACAGAUUUAUCUAACUUCCAAAACCAUGUUAACUUACCAUUUUUUGCCUCGGCAGAGCCUACCCGGUAACUGUUCGGAGAAGCUACCCUGUAGCUACCCUGUAACGGCCUACCCUGUAACGCACUGCCGGUGGACUUUUAAACUCUUGUUAUUUUAUAGUAAUCUGAGCGUCUUAUUUUAAUAAGUCAAAACUUUCAACAACGGAUCUCUUGGUUCUGGCAUCGAUGAAGAACGCAGC
rnacentral:misc_RNA from 1 species